CUGCGGUAUCCAUCGUAAGUUACGCAUGGAUUUAAUAGGGAAACAGGUGCAAGACCUGUGCGAACUCGUCACUGUGAUCACGGAGUGCGCCGUCAGAUAUAUGUCACUGGGAAACCGGGAAGGCAGACGGUUGUGCGAUGAUGUGUAAGCCAGGAGACCUGCCGCAUAUC
rnacentral:ncRNA from 1 species